rnacentral:rRNA from 1 species
GUGCUUAACACAUGCAAGUCGAGCGAGAUUCUGUAAACCGAUCUUCGGAAAGGUUAACAGAUGAAAGCGGCGGACGGGUGAGUAACGCGUAGGCAACCUACCUUAUACAAAGGGAUAGCCUCGGGAAACCGGGAUUAAUACCUUAUAACACUUUAGAAUCGCAUGGUUUUAAAGUCAAAGAUUUAUCGGUGUAAGAUGGGCCUGCGUCUGAUUAGCUAGUUGGUGGGGUAACGGCUCACCAAGGCAACGAUCAGUAGCCGACCUGAGAGGGUGAUCGGCCACACUGGAACUGAGACACGGUCCAGACUCCUACGGGAGGCAGCAGUGGGGAAUAUUGCACAAUGGGCGAAAGCCUGAUGCAGCAACGCCGCGUGAGCGAUGAAGGCCUUCGGGUCGUAAAGCUCUGUCCUAAGGGAAGAAUAAAUGACGGUACCUUAGGAGGAAGCCCCGGCUAACUACGUGCCAGCAGCCGCGGUAAUACGUAGGGGGCAAGCGUUAUCCGGAAUUAUUGGGCGUAAAGAGUGCGUAGGUGGACUUGCAAGCCUUUGGUGAAAGGCUACGGCUUAACCGUAGUAAGCCUUAGGAACUGUAAGUCUUGAGUGCAGGAGAGGAAAGCGGAAUUCCUAGUGUAGCGGUGAAAUGCGUAGAUAUUAGGAGGAACACCAGUGGCGAAGGCGGCUUUCUGGACUGUAACUGACACUGAGGCACGAAAGCGUGGGGAGCAAACAGGAUUAGAUACCCUGGUAGUCCACGCCGUAAACGAUGAGUACUAGGUGUCGGGAUCGCGAGGUCUCGGUGCCGCAGCUAACGCAUUAAGUACUCCGCCUGGGGAGUACGUUCGCAAGAAUGAAACUCAAAUGAAUUGACGG